GUCUACAGCCAUACCACCCUCAACGCGCCUGAUCUCGUCUGAUCUCAGAAGCUAAGCAGGGUUGGGCCUGGUUAGUACUUGGAUGGGAGAAAUUAAGUAAAUGAGUACA
ensembl:rRNA 5S_rRNA 5S ribosomal RNA